UUUCGAAUCAUUCACAAUGGGCGAAAGCUGAUGGUGCGACGCCGCGUGAGGGACGAAGGCCUUCGGGUCGUAAACCUCUGUCACCGGGGAAGAAACGCUACGUUUUAAUAGAACGUAGCCUGACUUAACCCGGAGAGGAAGCAGUGGCUAACUCUGUG
rnacentral:rRNA from 1 species